GCUGGUUGAUCCUGUCAGUAGCCAUAUGCUUGUCUCAAAUAUUAAGCCAUGCGUGUGUAAGUAUGAACUAAUUCAGACUGUGAAACUAUGAAUGGCUCAUUAAAUUAGUUAUAGUUUGUUUGAUGGUAUCAACUACUCGGACAACUAUAGUAAUUCUAUAGCUAAUACGUGCAACAGACCCCAACUUCUGGAAGGGAUGCAUUUAUUAGAUAAAAUGUCAAUGCGGGCUAUGCCCGUUGCUCUGACGAUUCAUGAUAACUUGAUGGAUUGUAUGGCCUUUGCACCGGUGAUGCAUCAUUCAAAUUUUUGCCCUAUCAACUUUCGAUGGUAGGAUAGUGGCCUACUAUGGUGGUGAUAGGUGACGAAGAAUUAGGGUUCGAUUUCUAAGAGGGAGCCUGAGAAAUGGCUACCACAUCUAAGGAAGGCAGCAGGCACGCAAAUUACACAAUUCUGACAGGGGGAGGUAGUGACAAUAAAUAACAAUAUCGGGCUCUAUGAGUCUGGUAAUUGGAAUGAGUACAAUCUAAAUCCCUUAAUGAGGAUCCAUUGGAGGGCAAGUCUGGUGCCAGCAGCCACGGUAAUUCCAGCUCUAAUAGCGUAUAUUUAAAUUGUUGCAGUUAAAAAGCUCAUAGUUGAAACUAGGGUUGGGUCAUCCGGGCCAUCUCACGGUGAGCACAGGUCUACUCAUCCCUACUGCUGAUGAUGCACUCAUAGACUUAAUUACGCAGGUCGUUGCUCCGAUGCUAUUACUUUGAAGAAAUUAGAGUGCUCAAAGUAGGCCUACGUUUUUAUACAUUAGCAUAGGAUAGCAUCAUAGGAUUUUGGUCCUAUUGUGUUAGCCUUCGAAUCGGAGUAAUGAUUAACAGGGACAGUUGGGGGCAUUCGUAUUUCAUAGUCAGAGGUGAAAUUCUUGGAUUUAUGAAAGACGAACAACUGUGAAAGCAUUUGCCAAGGAUGUUUUCAUUAAUCAAGAAUAAAAGUUGGGGGCUCGAAGAUGAUCAGAUACGAUCCUAGUCUCAACCAUAAACAAUGCCGACCAAAGAUCGAUGGAUGUUACUUUUAGGACUCCAUCGACACCUUAUGAGAAAUCAAAGUCUUUGGGUUCAGGGGGGAGUAUGGUUGCAAGGCUGAAACUUAAAGGAAUUGACAGAAGGGCACCAUCAGGAGUGGAGCCUACAGCUUAAUUUGACUCAACACAGGGAAACUUACUAAGUCCAGACAUAGUAAGGAUUGACAGACUAAGAGCUCUUUCUUCAUUCAAUGGGUGGUGGUGCAUGGCUGUUCUUAGUUGGUGGAGUGAUUUGUCUAGUCAAUUCCGUUAACAAAUGAGACCUUAGCCUGCUAACUAGCUACGCGGAGGUGAUCCUUCAUAGCUAGCUUCUUAGAGGGACUAUGGCCGCUUAGGCGAAGGAAGUUUGAGGCAAUAACAUGUCUGUGAUGCCCUUAGAUGUUCUGGGCCGCACGCGCGCUACAAUGAUGUAUUCAACGAGUCUAUGGCCUUGGUCGACAAGCUCGGGUAAUCUUUAAAAUUUCAUUGUGAUGGGGAUAGAUCAUUGUAAUUGUUGGUCUUCAAUGAGGAAUUCCUAGAAAGCGUGAGUCAUCAGCUCACGUUGACUACAUCCCUGCACUUUGUACAUGCUGUCCGUCGCUCCUACUGAUUGAAUGGUCCGAUGAAGUGUUCGGAUCGUGGCAACGUGGAUGGUUCGUCGCCUACGACGUCGCGAGAAGUCCACUGAACCUUAUCAUUUAGAGGAAGGAGAAGUCAUAACAAGGUUUUCGUACGUGAACUUAUGGAAG
rnacentral:rRNA from 1 species